UUAAAACAUAUCAAGUAAUACCAUUUAAAAAAACAAAAAAUAAUGAAGAAUGACAUAUUAUAUUGAAAAUCGAAUCGUGACCCUUUAAGAAAAAUUGAACACUUACCUUUCAUACUCUCAUUUUCCCCAUCAUUUUAUUUUCUCUCUUUUUUAAGACAUCAUCUUUGUCCUUAUCAUUUUCUUAAAAGUAAAAUCGUGGAUGAAGAUUGAAGCUUCAACCAUUUCCAUAAUCUCUCAUCUGAACGACACAUUCUUCUCCUCAAUUUCUCACAAAAACUAAAACCCAAACCUUAAAUGAAAACAAUCAGCAAAAAUAGAUCAAAAGUAGUGAGUCAUAAAAUCCCAAUCUUAAACCUAGUCGGACCCAAAUUAAAGCAUACAAAAUCCUAACAACAAAUCAAACAUCAAACAUGUAAUAAUAUCUUCACAUCAUACGAAAAUUAAUCAUACCCGCAACAAAAAUCGGAACCCCCUUUGCAAUACUUACGCAAGAUUACAUGGUACAAUAUGCAAAUCAAAUGAGCAAUAAAUAAAUGAAAACAAGACAACAAGUUCUACUGACUUAGAGUCUAUGGGAGGAAAAAGACCAAAGGAUUAUUUUUAAUUUUCCCGUGUUUCAGAAUUUCGAUCAGAUCAAUAAGGCUGAAGUAAACUUUAUUUUUUCAUUGUCGUCUCAAAUACUUCCUUGAAAACAAAUCCAAUUGAUGUUGUUCAAAAUAAUGGUUUUACUAUUGCAUUUGUGUGAUAUUCUGAUUGCAUUACCUUUAUGCAUCUUAGUCGUUGAUAUCAUCAUUGCAUGAUGGACUUUGGUUUCUUCCAUGUUUGCCUAGGAAUACUCUAAUUAAUAUAACUUCAUUGCAUCUU